rnacentral:lncRNA from 1 species
AUGCAUGUUGUCGUACGUGAAGUGGGCUGCUUGAAUAAGGCGACAGCUCAAUAACAAUCCAAAUCCAAGUGGACCAUUGACCCAAACUGAAACCAAGAAAUUACUAUAGGCGAACAUGAAUUUCCAAACGAAAAUGAACAUAUAAUGUGAUUUUAGUUACUAAAGAAAAAGAAAAUAAACCUGCCCAGAGAUAACAGGAUUGCCACCAAUGCUUCCUGUGAAACCUCACAACAUUAAGAGACAUCUGCAUAACGUAUAAAGAAAAUAUUAACACAACUGACAACAAUAACGGGCAUACAAAAAUGUGGAGUAAAAAAAUAGAUAUGUUAGAAUAUUCCAAUGUGAUAUAAAUCGGCCUGAAUACACUGGUUCGAAAACAAACGAUAAAAUUUAAGGAAGUUCUACGGCUCGUUUGGAUACAGAAUCACCACCAAACGAAACGGUAGGGCUGCGACGUCCAACCGAAGAUACAGAAAUCACCACUCCGGUUAAGAUAUCGUGUCUAAGAACACCACUCGACGUGCCACGAUUGAGCUAGCAAAGACAAUCAAUUUAACUCUCACACUCAAGAGAUAAAUUAACAAAAUUCAUUUUCAAAAUCAAAACUCACUGCCCUUUCACUAGCUAAAUUUCAAUAAAUAUAGAUAAAAACAUAGCACUACUUUACGUCCAAAACUAGAGGAAUAAAAAUAACUACGUACUACAUAGAAAGCAUGAAAAACAAGUCGGCAAAGCAUGAAAUAGAACUGUUAAACUAAAGGUAAACUAUUGGUGGUGGGAAGUGGGAACGUGGAUUCUUUUUUAUUCAUGUGCAUGAAAGUCUUAAAAUGAAGCUCCGCUUCAUGCAACUAAUCCUGGCCCACCCGUUUCCAAUAACCCUCAAAUUACUAAGCCACCGCUAUCACCAUAGUUGUUAAUGGCGAACAGCGACAAAUAGCGAUAAUGUACCUAUAUGCUAUAUAGCGAAUAGCAAUAAAUAGCGGGAGGCUAUUUUAUAAAUAGCAAUACACAAGAUUUUUUUUUUAAAUUUUAUAUGUAUAUUAUAUCAAAAUACCCUGACAUAUAUGCUAUUUUACAUGUAUAUUUAACAAAAACCUAAAAUCCUAUUUUAUAGCUAUAUUUAAUUUCUAUUUAUAUUAAAAAAAUAAAUAAAUAAAGUGUCGUUAUUCUUGCCAUCCAUCGCUACAACCCUAAAAGUGACACUAUACCUAUACGCUAAGUAGCGUGCUAUAGCGAUCGCUACGAUCGCUAUUGACAACUAUGGCUAUCACAAUGCUUCUAGAUGUUUAAUUUGAUCAGUAACAAAGACGAUUAAUAAAAAGGAACAGUAGCUUUACCGCAAGUGACAGCAAAAGAUUGAAGCUAGCCACGAUCUGAAUUGUUGGGAUCCAAAAACUACUUCCUUUAGGUCUAGGAACUUUGUGAAUUAAAAAGGGCAAAGUCGAUCUCAAUAAAAGGCUGCAACACAAAAACUAUCUUCAUUAUAAACAUGCAUAGCAUAUAUGAGCACCAACAAUUUGGAACACAAUAAGAAUCAAUAUAACCUCUGUAUCCAUCAUUUCUAGCAUGAAAUCACCAUUAAUAAAUUCUUAGCAAAUGUUCAUUAUAGUUAUUAGUCUUUUAUUAGGGUUUUCUCUAGGGCUUUUAAGUUUCAGUAGGGUUUAUCUUUAUCACUCCCAUUCUCGUAACCCAAUUUAGUUAUUUUCUCAUUCACUUUACACAAAACAUUAGAAGAUUAAUAUGGAAAUACAAACUAUCUGUCUAUCUUCAAUACUAAAAGAGCUUUCAUGACCUUAAACCUAGGGAUGAGAAAUUAAGUUCCAAAUACCGGUACCGGUACUGGUACCAACUGAACACAUACGGUACAGUAUUCAGUUUUGAAUUUAGCUCAAUUAGGGGUAUCGGUACUAUGUGAUAUGGUACCUGCUCGGCAUAUUUAACGAUACCAUGCCAUAUGAGUACCGACUGAACAUAAGCGAUAUAGUAUUCAGUUUUGUUUUUAACUAAAUUGUGGUAUUAGUAGUAGUAAUCUAAUCCCUAGUUAAACCUAGCGCUUUUCCAAACACAAUUCAAUACACAUUUAAAAUCAACAUCAUUCUAAACAAUCUAAUAACUUAAUACAGAUCAAAACUGACAUCAAAAUCCGAUGUGAAGCUGCGUUAGAAUUGGAAUUUCAAAUGAAUAUCAAAUAAUGACAAUCCUGAAGCAAAUAAAGCUCGAAUCAGAGUUCAAUGUUGAUAUAAUCAUAUGAUAUAUCAAAAUAAGCAUAGAGUUAGGGUUUAGUAUGUGCAAAUUUGGGGGGAAAGUGACGUACAGUAGGAAUGAGAGGAUAGCGACGGAAAGAGCAACGUAGUCGCUCGGACAACCGCCGAUGACGUCACACCCGGUCAUCUGAUCGCCGGUCACCGGUAAACUGCUGCUGUUGAUCGGAGGAAUGUUGUUGGAAAAUUGCCCAAAUUGUUUAAAGUCUCAACUUAACUCAAGUUUACUUUAUUUGAAACUUUGACCUUUGACCAACUAAAGCAUUCACAUCCUCUUCACACAGUGCGAAUCCUAAUCCUAUAUUUGGGUUUGAUUUAAAUGGGUUCGCAUUAGGUAACCGAAUCGCGUACCAGAUCGGUUCGUACCUAAUUGGAACAUUUUUCGACUCGUAUCACUUGCCGUUUUUGUUAUUGAUAUGACCUUUCAAGAAACAUGAAAAGAUUAUCGACAAAAGAUUCACCAAUGAAUAUAAAAAAAAGUGAAGAGUUGGUGAUUUUAAAAUAUGAAACUAAACAUAAUAUAACCUAUUUAGAAUAAAAUUGAAGAUUGCUGCAUUUACAUCAUAUUUUUUUAAUGUGUUUUGUAUAAUAAAAGUUUAAAAUGGCAUAGGAUAGUGCUAAAAUAAACAUAAGUAUUUAUAAAAAAGAAAAGUAAUAUGUAAAUUCAGAUUUUAAAGUAUUUAUAUGUAAAGAAAAGUAACUAACUUUUUUUCUUGAGUCAGACGGGUUGUGUUGUCUGUGAGCAAGACCAGAUCCAACCUUGUUUUAUGGGUUCUUUGGAACUCAUUCGGUUUGAAAAAGAUAGAAAAAAUUAGUGAAAACCUUGUAUAAUUU